UACGUAGGUGGCAAGCGUUGUCCGGAUUUACUGGGCGUAAAGAGCGCGCAGGCGGUUGGAUAAGUCGAAUGUGAAAGCCCCCGGCUCAACUGGGGAGGGUCAUUCGAUACUGUCCGACUCGAAGGCAGGAGAGGGAAGCGGAAUUCCCGGUGUAGUGGUGAAAUGCGUAGAUAUCGGGAGGAACACCAGUGGCGAAGGCGGCUUUCUGGCCUGUUCUUGACGCUGAGGCGCGAAAGCCAGGGGAGCAAACGGG
rnacentral:rRNA from 1 species